CUCAGGGAAUCAACGUGGAAACUGGACUUCCACUUCUCAGCUUCAACUGGAGCUGGGAAGCGUUAGCCUCUUAGAAGAGCCUUGGGGAAAUCUCAGGCCAGCUGCUGUGUGGUGUGUGAGGGAGGAGGUGUCAGGCCUGGAAGCUCCACAGGCCUCUGCUCCAGACACUCAGUGCAGUCACGCCUUGGCAGGGGAAGCAGCAGCCCUGAGAACACCCGCCCUCCCCUCCUAGCAGCCACCAGGAGGUGGGAUUUAAAAGGAAUCUGACCCUGUUAAGACUGAGGGGAUGAUCUGGGUCUGGUGCAGAGCAGCUUUGGGGUAUUAAUGACGGCACGUUCCACAGGGGAAACUUGUCUAUUUCAUUUAUUUGCAAUAAAAUAUAUGAGAUGAACAUCUGCAGGCAGCUUAUGCGUUGUCAUAUUCAGAGGUAAUUCAGGCAUGUGAUGGGAGGGAUUUGUGAAUUUUCUGUUGUUAUGAGUUCUAGGCCCUAUGGAAUCAUUUGGCCUCACUGUGGCAGCCCGGCAGGGAAGAGACAGUGCUCAUGGGCCCCUGUGAUGCCUCGUUAUGGAAUAAGCAGAAGUGACUGUGCAGCCGAGACCUAACAAUAUCUGCACUGAAUUCCUAUUAUGUAAGAAAGGCUUUCUAGUCCCUGCCAGUGUCGGGAUGUGGUGGUUGGUUUUCAAUAAAGGUCAGAAUCGGUGCCACACUGAAUAGAGCUAAAAGUGUGUUUCAUUCUUUUGUAGGCCACGGGCACUGUUGGGGAUUGAUCUGAAAAUCUGGUCUGUUGCAGGCCUUUGCUCUCCGGGGAGAUUAAUAUUUUAGCUAUUCCUUUUUGUUCAGUGCUUCUAAAUGUAUUUGGAAUGAAAAGAAAG
rnacentral:lncRNA from 1 species